UACAGAGCUUUGUACAGAAGGUAAAAUAUCCUGCCCUCUAGGAAGGAGUUUACAGACUUUGCUGAGGAAACAGAGUCUAAACACAUCAAAAGUUGAUGAGCAAUCCAGACAAGAUUGAGAUGCAGUGAAAUCUUGGCUGGGAGAGUUUGGAGGUAGAGCCAUUCUGGAAGCUGGAGAUGGUGAGGCUUAAGCCAAAUUUGAAACACCAGUGACUUCAGAGAGGAAAUAAGUUGCGUGUUUGUAUGUAUGCAUGUAUGCACACAAGUGUAAGCUACCCAGCUCUUACAUGGAAAGACCAAAGAAAAUACCAAAUAAUAUUUGCAACCAGGGAAAAGACUACCCAAAUUUACUUUAAUCUUUGAACAAACCAAGACAUGCUGACAAACCAAUGAAGAGAACAUAGCCAAGAAUACCAAUCAGGAGGCCAGUCAGCAGCCUUAUGAGAUGGCGGGACCCAAAGCAGUUGGCUCAUGCAGAGGGUGAAAAACGCAUUCUUGAAAGAGAGGAAGCUGGGAAGUAAAUCCAACACAGACGUGGAUGUUAAUAAAUAAACAGCAAACAAAUUUCACUGGCGCUGGUGUGAGCCCCGGGCCUGACUUCCACUUUCUGGUCCCGUCAGAGGGUGUCAGAGCAUUAGCCCCACCAAAUGGUCAUCAUCCACCCUGGAUUCGAGGAUUCAUUUUCAAGGCAAACCACCAAGACAGCUAUUUAUCAUCAUGGAGACUCAAAGAAAUCCAGAAAACAGACAAGUGCCAGACCUAUGCGUGUUUAUGGGGAGCAGUGCCCAGAGAAGGUUACCCCAACAGUAAAUAAGACUGCCUAGUGAGACAACUUGCUGGGUCACACAUGGGAGGAAGUCAAAACUGCCGUCUAACUUGGGUGUCGCCUGAUAAGGGAAAGGUUUUUUCACCAGGUCCAUGCUUGUUUGGAAAGCAAUGAGAAAGCAAGGUGAAUUUCAAGCUGGAAAGAAGGGAUAUGAAGAGCUGAACCCUGGACUCCGAAACCCACAGCCAUACACAUUCUUUCAGCGGGUUGGAGUCUGGGAGCUCUCUCCUUUCAUCAGUCGGCAUAAAAGUUGUUUCAGCAAGAACUGAAACAAAGGAAGGCAUUCAUUUACAAAAGCAAGUCUAAAGGCACAGUGUCUGUUAGGAACUUUUAUUUAUGCUGCACCUGGCAUUAUUUUUUACUAUCUGUGGAACGGGGUUGCCUGUGCCAGCUCCAACCAGGAAAUAGUAUGUUUCUGUAUCCAACACAUAAACCUUUGUCACGUGCGGGUGAACCCCGCACCUCCCACAGCAAUCUCGCUUCUGACGGGAGAAGCUGGGCAGAGACAGGGUGCUCAUAUUCUCUGGGGGUAUGGGUCUGCCACCCACAUCUACAGGUAGAGGCUCGUCACCAGGAGCCUGGGCCUGAGCCCUCACCUGUUUGUGCCAACCCACAACUGCAGGGCGUCCCCUCUCCAAGUAAAAUGCUCUUUGAAUUAGCUUUGCAAACAUAUGGAUGCAGCUGUAUUGAGGAAAUAUUUUCAUUUGCUUCAUAACUCCUGGUCAAGGCAAGAUUUUGGACUAAUUCAUUCGAAAGACUCGAACUUUACCCAUUUGCUUUUUUUAAUCAAAGCAAAUGUGAUCCAGGAAUGUAGUGAUGUCUUGCUGUGUUAAGGACAACAGGUUCACUUUUCACACUCUGGUUCAAGCAGAGAGGAAAACAUGCAGGACUGGGACUGAAUUUCUCUGAAAUAUCACUUGAACUUUCCCUUCAUUGAAUACCUCACCAAUACCACAGGGACCUUGUCCAAGAUCAUCUUAAAUUUCCAUUCCAACUGUAACAAGUCCAUCACGCUCUAAAAGAAGACCAGCUCUGCUCUUAAGCACAUAUGAAUUGGAUAUUGAUAUUUCACUUCUGAUGCACUUAAAUGCUAAUUAUUUCAGAAAAUAAAAGACUGUUUUGAGCUACGAAACCUGCAGAUCCUGAUCGUUAGUCUCAGUGAAUGUAUAGGCCCUAUA